CCACAGGCACUGGGGAGUGGGUGGGGGCUCCCCAAAAACCACACGCUGCUCCCCAAACUCCUUUUAGAAGUGCCCCGGAAGACCUGGACCUGGCUGUGCACAAAAGCACCAUGCUCUCCUCUGACCAGAUCCCUUGGAUGAGGUCCUUAAAGACCCCCUGGAGCUCAGUUUCCUCAUCAGUAACUGGAGAGGUUUGCACCAGGUGGUCCUUGAGGGGCUCCCCCCAGCUCUGAGCCCACGAUGGUGCAUUUCAUACCCUGGACUGUGUCUGAAAACUUGAGAAGGAGUAGGGAAUAGGAUAGAUGCGAACUGAGCUUCUUGAUGGGGUCCCGUACCUACCCCAUAUUUACUGCACUAGAAGCAGGGCCUGGAAUCCACACUUCAACAAGCUCACACUAAAAUGGGAGACCGUGCCACGCUGGCCUUUCUGGGGCUCCUCAGCCACGUUUUUGCACCUGCUGUUCUCUCUGUCUCCAUUAUUUCCCCUAGAUCUGCACUGCUGUGUCCCUGAUUUCACUCAGAUCACUGCCCAAUGUCCUCUUCAGAGAGGUCUUUCCUAACUGCCUCCUCUAACAGAAAGUAACCUGGGGCCAGGCAUGGUGGCUCACGCCUGUAAUCCCGGCACUUUGGGAGGCCAAGGCAGGUGGAUCACCUGAGGUCAGGAGUUCAAGACCAGUCUGACCAAUAUGGCGAAACCCCGUCUCCACUAAAUACAAAAAAUUCACCUGGCGUGGUGGUGUGCACCUGUAAUCCCAGCUACUCGGGAGGCUGAGGCAGGAGAAUCGCUUGAACCCGGGAGGUGGAGGUUGCAGUGAGCUGAGAUUGUGCCACUGCACUCCAGCCUGGGCAACAGAGCGAGACUCCAUCCCAAAUAAAAAAGAGAAAAAAGAAAGAAACUUGGACACAAACGCAUGCCAUUGGAAGACCGUGGGAAGACACGGGCAGAAGGUGGCCAUCUCCAUGCCAGACAGGGACCUCAGAAGGAGGCCAUCCUGCCAACGCCUUGGUCUUGGACUCCAGCAUCCAGAACUUCGAGAUGAUAAGUGGGGGUUGUUGAAGCUGCCCAGUCUGGGGAACUUUGUGACAGCUGCCCCAGAAAUCUGAUCCACUGCACCUGGCCUCAGAGUUCAGGCUGGCUCCACUCUCUCUCUCCCGACACCUCCCAUCAGGUGGGGACCUGCAGCCCAUUCCCAGGUGGGGGUCUGCACAAGGACAAGUUUGGGAUGAAGCCUCAGGUCACCUGGCUUCCUGGAUCUAUAAACUGUCAUCUAAGUGACAGGCUUGGCUCAGGAAAGCCGCUCGGUGCCAACCAGCUUGAGAGCCUAGCUCCCGGGGGCAGGCCACCGCACAGAGAACACACACGCUUUCCUAACAGCCUUGCUGGGGAAAUUUGGCCACUGGCUGCAAAACCUCACUGGAAGUAAAAAAUAGGAGUGUCAGAUCCUGUAGCUGAAUGAAAGAAAUUUGGACCAGCCAGGGUUAAGGAAGACAGACUUUCUGCUCUCCAGAGUCUGCCUGUGCUCUCAGGACAGGCCUCGGUGUGGCAGCACGUGAACCAGUGGCAGGCUGUUUUUCUUUCUUUCCAUGUUCCCAGCCCCUGGCACAUGGUAGGUGCUCAGAAAGUGCUAAGGACUUCCUAAAUGCAAACCUACACAGCCUAGCCCGUGCAGCAGGGAACGGAGAUCACCGGGCACUCGGGAGCCAUCCACUCGGUGGUGGGCGAUUUGAGCCGCUGUCUUCAGGACCGAGACCAGGCAUCAGGGACCCCAGAUUGUGGAGCAGACAACAACGCCGGCUGACCUCGGACGACGUCUCGUCCCGUAUUCUAUGUCUCAUGUCCUCUGUGAAAUGGAAGAGCCUCCAUCCCUAAGGGGACAGAGUUUCGGGCUUGGUGAAUGGAGCCUGGUGCGAAGCAGGAAGGAAGCCCCUUGGCUCCCACCUGCCAGCUACUCCGGGGCACUCCCCCGACCUUCUGGCCAUCUCCAUUGCUCAGAGCCCCACUGUGGGAGGUCUGAGCUCUCAGAGGCUGCAGUGAAGAGUGACAAGGAUGACGCCCCCACCAACCCCAUCAGGGUUCCUGGGGGUGCGGAUGACAUGUGGGCCACCUGGGCUUGUCUUUAGCGUUUUGGGGAGAUGAAUAGUUUGAGUGACUGUCUGCUUGCACCUGCCUCAGGACAGAGUAGUGAGAGGUAGGAGGAAGGCGUAGAGGGGAAGGGAGCUUCAGAGGUAACCCCCGACUGAACCGAGAGUGCACAGGUGGUCAUCCUGCACCCAGUCCUCCUGUCAACACCAGUAAGUGGGCGGUCCCCUCCCUGGGCAGGGCAAGACCCCUGGGCCUGAGGGAGGUGGGAACGAGUGCAGGUGGCGGGGGUAAACAUCUCUGCAGGAGGCAGAGCCUGUGAGCCAGUGCCUCCGGCCAGCCCCUACUGCCGGGUGUAACGGGUGUGAAGGGAGACAUGUGGACCGGCACCUUGUUCCGGUCACUUCCACUCUGAGCUUUUCCCGCCCAUCACACCAAACUGCUGGUGGUGCCCCCGCCCUGCACUGCCGCCGCCUGAGGCCCUAUCCAAGCCAUCUCUGAUAGAGCUGAGCCUCGAGGGGCAGGACUCCCCUAAAAACAUCCCCUGUCUUCAGCAGGGGUCCAGGGACCUAGACAGGUGGGGGACCACCCGUUGUUACGGAGUGACUGGGAGGGCCACCCGAGGAGAGCCAAGCAGGGGACCACCCCUCCCGGCAUGGGCAGACCUAGCAGGGCAGCCCCGGGACUUGGGGCGUGAGAUCCGACUUCCUGAGGCUCCACUCCUGGCGGGGGGCAGGCCAGGCCACCGUGGCUCUCCAAGGAAGGCGCACUGCCUAGCUGCGUGGAGCGUGGUUGGCCUCCAGCCGUUGGCUUCCUCAGGGUCAGCAUCCUCUCUGCCUCUCCAGGAGUCUGAGCUAGGUGAGGAUACAAGGGCCUGACUAUUCCACCCCUCAAGGGCUCCUCUGAUGGGCAGCACUGGCUCUGCAUGCCCACUGGGCUGCCAGAGAUGAGUGUGGCAGAUCCACAUCGCAGCUUACCCACCCCUCCUGCACUCUCUUGCAGCCUCUCUUUUCUUCAUGGGUGUUGCUCCCUCAUAAAUAAAUAAAUAUAUAUAUAUACACACACACACACACACAUAGUUGCUGUUGUUGUUGUUGUUGUUGUUUUUGAGGCAGGGUCUUGCUCUGUCGCCCAGGCUGGAGUUCAG
rnacentral:lncRNA from 1 species